rnacentral:rRNA from 1 species
AGUGAACGCUGGCGGUAGGCCUAACACAUGCAAGUCGAACGGCAGCACAGUAAGAGCUUGCUCUUACGGGUGGCGAGUGGCGGACGGGUGAGGAAUACAUCGGAAUCUACUUUUUCGUGGGGGAUAACGUAGGGAAACUUACGCUAAUACCUCAUACGACCUACGGGUUAAAGCAGGGUAUCUUCGGACCUUGCGCGAUUGAAUGAGCCGAUGUCGGAUUAGCUAGUUGGCGGGGUAAAGGCCCACCAAGGCGACGAUCCGUAGCUGGUCUGAGAGGAUGAUCAGCCACACUGGAACUGAGACACGGUCCAGACUCCUACGGGAGGCAGCAGUGGGGAAUAUUGGACAAUGGGCGCAAGCCUGAUCCAGCCAUACCGCGUGGGUGAAGAAGGCCUUCGGGUUGUAAAGCCCUUUUGUUGGGAAAGAAAAGCAGCAGGUGAAUACCACGCUGUUCUGACGGUACCCAAAGAAUAAGCACCGGCUAACUUCGUG